AUUCUUUGCUGAAGUGGAGGAAUUAGCUCUCAUAGUAACAACAUCUGAACAAAAUGAUUAUGAGAAUGACUGGAUCAUUGACUCAGGCUGCUCAAAUCAUAUGAUAGGCGAUAAAGAAAAGUUGCAGAACUUGUCAGAAUACAAAGGAUCCCGUGUGGUGGUGAUAGCCAAUAAUUCUAAGUUACCAAUAGCUCACAUCGGUAAGACGAUAGUUCCUCCCCAAUAUAGUGCUAACCAGAUGUCGCUUCAAAAUGUCCACCAUUUCUCAGGUAUGAAGAAAAUUUUGCUUUCAGUAGCACAAUUAACAUAAUUAGGUCACUUUGUUUUGUUUGGCCCAGAAGAUGUGAAGGUGUAUCAUGAUAUUAAGAUUUCAA
rnacentral:misc_RNA from 1 species